GCCGGAGCAAUAGAGCUGGCCUCCCACACCUGGGUUUCCCAAAAGGAUCUCCUAGGUCCUAAAGUCCUGCAACCGUGAGAGGUCACCAGCCUCUGAUCAGAAAUCUAGUGGACCUGCUGGCCCAGCUCCUAGCAAUGGAGGAGUAGGGAGGGUGGAGAUGGACAGCAGUGGGCCCAGCCCCUCCUGGAAGGACCCACCCAGCUGCCAAGCCUGCAUCCUAAACCUUCAAGCUGUCCCCAACACCUCACUGGAUGCCUGUCCACAGUUGGCCACCCCAUAUGAAACCUUGGAGGGGAAAGGCUGAAAUGUAAGCAGACUCUUCGGGAUCAGAGUGGGGGUUUUGUGGAGGGUUGCAGCCAGGGUAGCUUGGGGUCUGCUCAGGGGGUUGCCCCAAGAACAUUCAAAAGUCAGCUCUGAAAACUCCUAGAAGUAAACAUAAGGUUAAACCUUUGGGACCUUGGCUUAGUCAAUGGUUUUUUUAGAUAUGACACCAAAAGCACAAGCAACAAAAGAAAAAUACGUAAAUUGUACUUCAUCAAAAUAAAAUACUUUUGUGCAUCUAAGGACCACCCCAUCAAGAAAGUGAAAAGACAACCCACAGAAUGGAAGAAAAUAUUUGCAAAUCAUAUUUAAGGGACUUGUAUCAAGAAUGUAUAAAGAUGGCUUCCCUGGUGGCGCAGUGGUUAAGAAUCUGCCUGCCAAUGCAGGGGACACGGAUUCGAGCCCUGGUCCUGGAAGAUCCCACAUGCCGCGGAGCAACUAAGCCCGUGUGCCACAACUACUGAGCCUGUGCUCUAGCGCCCUCGAGCCACAACUACUGAGCCCACGUGCCACAACUACUGAAGCCCGCGUGCCUAGAGCCCGUGCUCCGCAACAAGAGAAGCCACCGCAGUGAGAAGCCCGCGCACUGCGAUGAAGAGUAGCCCCCGCUCGC